rnacentral:tRNA from 1 species
AACCUGUCGCCGAAAGGAUUGGGGGUUCGAAUCCCUCUGGAUGCACUUUCACACUUCUAUAGCUUAACGGAA